rnacentral:rRNA from 1 species
GCUAACUACGUGCCGGGAGGCUGUGGUAUACGUGGGGGGCGUGGUUUAUCCGGAUUUACGUGGUGUAAAGGGAGCGUAGACGGUGGGGCAAGUCUGAUGUGAAAGGCAUGGGGUCAACCGGUGGACUGCAUUGGAAACUGUCAUACUUGAGUGCCGGAGGGGUAAGCGGAAUUCCUAGUGUAGCGGUGAAAUGCGUAGAUAUUAGGAGGAACACCAGUGGCGAAGGCGGCUUACUGGACGGUAACUGACGUUGAGGCUCGAAAGCGUGGGGAGCAAACAGGAUUAGAUACCCUUGUAGUC